rnacentral:rRNA from 1 species
UGGGGAAUCUUGCGCAAUGGGCGAAAGCCUGACGCAGCAACGCCGCGUGAGCGAAGACGGCCUUCGGGUUGUAAAGCUCUGUCAGGAGGGACGAAGCCACUCAGGUGAAUAGCCGAGAGGGUGACGGUACCUCCAGAGGAAGCCCCGGCUAACUACGUGCCAGCAGCCGCGGUAAUACGUAGGGGGCGAGCGUUGUCCGGAAUCAUUGGGCGUAAAGCGCGUGUAGGCGGCCAUCCAAGUCCGAUGUGAAAGCUCGGGGCUCAACCCCGAGUCUGCAUUGGAAACUGGAUGGCUUGAGUCCGGAAGAGGAGACUGGAAUUCCUGGUGUAGCGGUGAAAUGCGCAGAUAUCAGGAAGAACACCGGUGGCGAAGGCGGGUCUCUGGGACGGUACUGACGCUGAGACGCGAAAGCGUGGGGAGCAAACA